UACAGAGGUCCCAAGCGUUGUUCGGAUUUACUGGGCGUAAAGGGUGCGUAGGUGGCGGGGUAAGUCUGGUGUGAAAGCUCCGAGCUUAACUCGGAAAAGCAUUGGAAACUAUCCCGCUGGAGGGUCGGAGGGGAGACUGGAAUUCUCGGUGUAGCAGUGAAAUGCGCAGAUAUCAGGAGGAACACCGGUGGCGAAGGCGGCUCUCUGGACGGUGACUGACGCUGAGACGCGAAAGCGUGGGGAGCAAACAGG
rnacentral:rRNA from 1 species